GACACCUCUACCCUAAAAACAUUAGAUCCUGUCUGAUCUUGUCAGAUAAGCAGGGCCAGCCCUUGUUAGUACUUAAAUGAGAGGCCCCCAAUGAAUACUAGGUGCAGGAGGCU
rnacentral:rRNA from 1 species